GGUAUCUGUGUGGCUGUGGUCGGAUGAAUAGAGAGGGUGCGAGGGUGUAUCGGAUUUACUGGGCUUAAAGCGUGUGUAGGCGUGUCGAUAAGUCGGAUGUGAAAGACCGGGGCUCAACCGAGGAAUUGCAGUCGAUACUGGCGGGCGAGAGUACGGUGGAGGGCGGCGGAAUUCCGGGUGUAGCGGUGAAAUGCGUAGAGAUCCGGAGGAACACCGAUGGCGAAGGCAACCGCCUGGGCCUGUACUGACGCUGAGACACGAAAGCGUGGGGAGCAAACAGGAUUAGAUACCCGGGUAGUC
rnacentral:rRNA from 1 species